GAUGAACGCUAGCGACAGGCUUAACACAUGCAAGUCGAGGGGCAGCAUAAAAGUAGCAAUACUUUGGUGGCGACCGGCGCACGGGUGAGUAACACGUAUGCAACCUACCUGUAAGAGGGGAAUAACCCGGAGAAAUUCGGACUAACACCGCAUAAUACCGAUUAACUGCAUGGUUGAUCGGUUAAAUAUUUAUAGCUUACAGAUGGGCAUGCGUAACAUUAGAUAGUUGGUGAGGUAACGGCUCACCAAGUCAACGAUGUUUAGGGGUUCUGAGAGGAAGGUCCCCCACACUGGUACUGAGACACGGACCAGACUCCUACGGGAGGCAGCAGUGAGGAAUAUUGGUCAAUGGGCGAGAGCCUGAACCAGCCAAGUCGCGUGAAGGAAGAAUGUCCUAUGGAUUGUAAACUUCUUUUGUAAGGGAAUAAAAAAGGGUACGUGUACCCUAUUGUAUGUACUUUACGAAUAAGGAUCGGCUAACUCCGUGCCAGCAGCCGCGGUAAUACGGAGGAUCCGAGCGUUAUCCGGAUUUAUUGG
rnacentral:rRNA from 1 species